rnacentral:rRNA from 1 species
GUCCAGACUCCUACGGGAGGCAGCAGUGGGGAAUAUUGCACAAUGGGGGAAACCCUGAUGCAGCGACGCCGCGUGAGUGAAGAAGUAUUUCGGUAUGUAAAGCUCUAUCAGCAGGGAAGAAAAUGACGGUACCUGACUAAGAAGCCCCGGCUAACUACGUGCCAGCAGCCGCGGUAAUACGUAGGGGGCAAGCGUUAUCCGGAUUUACUGGGUGUAAAGGGAGCGUAGACGGCAUGGCAAGUCAGAUGUGAAAGCCCGGGGCUCAACCCCGGGACUGCAUUUGAAACUGUCAGGCUGGAGUGCGGGAGAGGUAAGUGGAAUUCCUAGUGUAGCGGUGAAAUGCGUAGAUAUUAGGAGGAACACCAGUGGCGAAGGCGGCUUACUGGACUGUAACUGACGUUGAGGCUCGAAAGCGUGGGGAGCAAACAGGAUUAGAUACCCUAGUA